UACGAAGGGGGCGAGCGUUGUUCGGAAUUACUGGGCGUAAAGGGUACGUAGGUUGUUUAUUAAGUUAGAUGUGAAAUCCCAGGGCAUAACCUUGGAACUGCAUCUAAAACUGGUUUACUUGAGUUUAGAAGAGGGUAAUGGAAUUUCUAGUGUAGAGGUGAAAUUCGUAGAUAUUAGAAAGAACGUCGAAGGCGAAGGCGGCCCCCUGGACAGAUACUGACACUCAGAUGCGAAAGCGUGGGUAGCAAACAGG
rnacentral:rRNA from 1 species